UACAGAGGGUGCGAGCGUUGUUCGGAAUUAUUGGGCGUAAAGCGCUUGUAGGCGGCACACUAAGUCUCGUGUGAAAUCCCUUGGCUUAACCAAGGAAGUGCGCGAGAAACUGGUGAGCUUGAAUGCCGGAGAGGGUCGCGGAAUUCCCGGUGUAGAGGUGAAAUUCGUAGAUAUCGGGAGGAACACCAGUGGCGAAGGCGG
rnacentral:rRNA from 1 species